AAAAGGUCAUAUGGGAGCUGGGGUUGAGAAUAUGUAGGCUGCUGCUAUGAUGCACUAGGGGAACAAUAGGCUUACAGCAAGGCUCUGAGUGCAUAUCUAGAGAUUUAACCUCAGGUCUUUGAUUGUGGUUAAAGCUUUGAUUGUUGAAAGCUAGUGAGACAGCUGCUAGAGAGAAGAGGAAGUAGAUGUAUUUAGAAACUGCUUUUUAUGACUGGUACCAUUUUCCAGCUGUUUGCUGCUCUGGAGGGAGUGAAGGAGAAGAUCUAAAGCAAAGAAGAUUCAGAACCAGAAGCAAUUCUGAAAGUCUAUGGCCUGAGUGCUGAAUCUGCAUAGUUUCCCUGGACAUCAGCAGCAGCCUUGAGGCAUCACCUGUGGAGACACCUGAAACAAGCACAUGCUUUAGAAAAAUAGCAGAUUGCAGACAGGAGAGUGCCUAAUGGUGGGGUUGGGUCUGCCAGUCUGUGGUCCUCAGCCAUACACUGAAGCAUGUAGAGUGAUAUCCAUAGACUUCCAUCUCAUGUCGGCAUUCCUGUUAUCAAGACACUCCCUCUGAAGCUAUGGAGUUGCAGAGCUGUUUGCAGGUGGUCCAGCUGACUCACUACUCAGCUGAGCAGGAAGCAUGAGGGGACUCAACUGGUGUGAUCAGGAAAACAGCAGGAGCUGGGUUUUUGAGAAGGAACUGGAACAGAGAAACCUUUGUGCUUCCUGCAGGCAUGUGGUAGGGAGAAGGGACGGUUUUAGACCUGUUUUAUUGUGGUGAAAAUUGAGAGGGUCGUGCCGCCAUGCUUGGCGCUAGCUGUGUAGGUAGCUGUCGUGGUGGUGGAGGGGAGGUCAGUGUGUGGGGUGACACUUGUUGCUCUUUGUCACACUGCUGGCAUUCUGUGAUAGGUUCCAAAAGCAUUCGGAAAUCCCAAACAGAGUCAGAAAUUAAAAACGGGUGGUGGUUUGUGGUUCAUAUGACAGAAGGCAUAAACCAGCAGGGAAGUGUGUACAGGUGACAUUGAGCCACUGGCUGUAGUUUUAAAUGCUGAAAUAAGCGAUGCUGGUUGUUUCACGAAGCCAAGUUCCUCAUCCAGCUAUUACAGAGCUGACAUUUGGGAAAUCAGAUGCACGUGUAGCCCUUACGGACAGACUCUGCUUUGCAUGAGCUUUGCUGAGAUUUGCACCGCCAGGCAUCUCACUUCUGUUUGUCACUGUGAUUGCCUUCUUGGCAAUGCAUCGUGCCAUUUACUGCCCCUCAUGUCCUUAACUGGAAUUAGCUGCCACCCCCUCUCCCAAUGGCUCAAUCACAGCUCUUCAGCAGCUCAGCUCCUUGUUUCCCUCUGCUGCCAGCCUACUCUGCAAUCACCUUUGCAGUAAGAACGGUUUUGCAUUGGUGUCCCUGUCUCCCUCCCAAAGAGCUGCCUAGCCCUGUCCCCUCAGCCAUGGAAAAACUAUUUUCAAACACAAGAGCAAAGAGGAAGACUUUCAGCAGCUGUAAAGCUCUACUUUUCCUGGGAGGUGCUCUGUCACUGCCAGCUGCCAGGGAUGUCUCAGUGAUUUUUGCUGAUGAUGGGAGAAUUGCAUUUGAACUAAAGAGGCAAAGGGAUUAUCUUUAAGCUAACACACUGAAUGAGUACUGCCCUCAUUUUUGCUGCACUGAGGCCCCUCAUGAUCACAAACAGCUCCUUUCCCCUCUGUAGCACUUGUACAGAGGGGAACUGACCGCAUUUAACAGGCCAACGUAGUCUGAAGUGGGGUUUGCAUGAGAGCUACAAUGCCUAAUCCCAGCCUGGCAAAUAUAUACUGUUUGAUGUGCUUUGGGCAGUCUUUUGCAGGUGAGCAUGGCAAUGAACAGCGAGAGCAUCUGUAAGUAUGUGUGCUACUGCCCUUUGUGUUGAGAUGGUGCCACGAGGCCAGGCAGCUGACCUGCCUCCCGCAGACCAGAGAGUGCUGACACCACACAUGGUGUCCUGGCAAACAUUUGGGUUAGAAAUGUCUGUAUUAGCUGGCCAUGUGGAAGGGAGAUGUAUUGCUGCUGUGCAACUGAGGGCAAAGAGACAGCCCCCAGCACUCAUGCAGCUCAGGAUCUGCCUGCAGCACAGCUCAGCACUGUGCUGUCAGGGGGCAGAGCUGAAGGCCCUGUCAGCCUCACGGCAACACAGGCAGCUCAACCCCAAGUGGAGCAGGUGGGACAGAAGGUCCCCACCGCAGCCAUCGAUGUGCCCAACCAAACCCUACUUCCCUGUGCCAGACACUCAAUGUCAAAUCUCUCUUCGAGAGACCGCAGCAGAAAAUCUGAGAAGCAGGAAAGCAUCAUCUGUGCCAGCUGCAGGAGGAUUAGGAGACCUGCCCAGUGUGUGAGUGAAGCCAAUAGCAGAGUGAGAAGCAAAUGCAUGAUGAGUGACUCAGGCUCCAGGCUGGCCCAGCCCAAGGGGUGUGAACCUGCAUCACCUCUUGAGCAGCUCCAUCCCACCCAGGGACCUCUCGCCAUCGUCCCAUCAGGACUGAUGUGCUGCCAGAAACCAGAAAUAGUAUCCUGAAGAAGAAAAAAAAAAAGUGUGGGGGGAGGGGGACGUUUGUGCUGUAUCAAUGUGUUCUGGUUUGGGUUUUUCAAAACAAAAUGCUUCUGGCCUUUGCUUGGAAAAGGAUUUUCAGCUGUAUUUGUGUGCAAAAGCGCUGAUUAUGUGUUACAAUGGAAGGAGUCGAAAUCAAAAGGAAAGGAAAUAGAACGCUGAGAGACAACGGCCUGGAGAAAAACCAACCCCAGACAGCUGGGAAAUCCCAGCUCUUUGUCUGCAGAUAGAUCUGAAAAGACCAAGGGGUUUUUCCUUUGAUUCUCAGGUUUGCCCUGAAUCCAAAUGAAAGCUAAUACUGGUAUAGCUGACUUCUGCGAAGAGAAAACAUCCAUUUUUGAUUCUCUUUCCAUAUUCCCCCCCCCCCAUGCUCUGCCUGCACAUGAUGCAGCCAAACAGGAAUUGGAGAGAGACGAAGAAAAUUUUCAUAAACACAGAAAAUAAAUUGCACACAAACAUCAAACCAAAGCUGGUGCAUUGUUAGCAGUGCUUUUCCAGAGCCUUGAUAUUUCCUGAGGACUCUCAUGGGUCUGCGGUCUCUUCCACCACAUCAAUCCCAGUACGUUGUAUGCUCAUUAGCCCGAAGAGCAUGCUCAUAUUUAUGGGGUUGGGAGUGGCACGAUGAGCUCCGUUCCCAAAGGUGGAAUAUUCACUGUGUGCUGCCAGACAUCAUGGUAAUUUGGGGUGUGUGGGGGCUGGAGGGCACAGCCCCAUACUUCGCAGCCUGCUGUGGAGCUCCUUGCUGCAAGUCUCAGCCCUCCCAGCAUGGCACGUGCUGAUGCAGGCUGCCUGUUGGCAACGUUUGCCAGAAGUUUAUCAUCUCCUGUGUUUAAAAAAAAAAAAAAAAAACUCCCAUCAGUCAAGCUCAGCUCUUCCAUUUUCCAGUAAUUCUCAGGGCAUUCUGAACCUCCUCAGCUCCUAAACAAGGAUGGUAUGAGCCACAGCCAUAGCUG
rnacentral:lncRNA from 7 species